rnacentral:rRNA from 1 species
UUCCGUAGGUGAACCUGCGGAAGGAUCAUUAACACUAAUCCAUAAAAACUCAACGAAGCCUUUAGUUGCAGCAGUGGUACGUUCGCGUAUAGCUGCCGCAGCAUCUUACAAAACUAAUCCAAGCAAAGGAGCCUAACUAAGCUCAACCACUAAAACCAAAUUCUCAACGGUGGAUGUCUUGGUUCCCACAACGAUGAAGAACGCAGCGAAGUGCGAUAAGCAGUGCGAAUUGCAGAACCGUGAGUCAUCAGAUUUUUGAACGCAACUGGCGCCGUGUGGGCUCGCCCGCCGGCACGCCUGGUCCAGUGUCUUGUUCUCUCCUCACCUAAAUCUUCAUGCGAGAGAUGCCCUUCUCUUGCUAAGCAUGAAAGCACUCUGCAUUCUGCGAGCGGCCUUCGGGUCGCACUCCAUGCAGCAGUCACAUUGCUCACAAUGUGAACUCAUGGAGAGUAGAGGCAGUGCAGCGACAGCUGCCAGUGCUUAGACACACCAACUUAGGUACAGUAUCUGGGCUCAGGUGGGACCACCCGCUGAACUUAAGCAUAUCAAUAAGCGGAG